AACGAACGCUGGCGGCGUGCCUAACACAUGCAAGUCGAACGAGAAAGGGGCUUCGGCUCCGAGUAAAGUGGCGCACGGGUGAGUAACACGUGGGUAACCUGCCUCUAAGAUUGGGAUAACUCGUCGAAAGAUGAGCUAAUACCGAAUAAGACCACAGUUCCCGCGGGAACAGGGGUCAAAGGUAGCCUCUGCUUGCAAGCUAUCACUUAGAGAUGGGCCUGCGCACCAUUAGCUAGUUGGUAGGGUAACGGCCUACCAAGGCAAAGAUGGUUAGCUGGUCUGAGAGGAUGCUCAGCCACACUGGAACUGCGACACGGUCCAGACUCCUACGGGAGGCAGCAGUGGGGAAUAUUGCGCAAUGGGCGAAAGCUUGACGCAGCAACGCCGCGUGAGUGAUGAAGGCCUUCGGGUCGUAAAGCUCUGCCGGGAGGAACGAAUGCUCCUGAGGUUAACAGCCUCGGGAGGUGACGGUACCUUCAAAGGAAGCACCGGCUAACUCUGUG
rnacentral:rRNA from 1 species